rnacentral:rRNA from 1 species
UGGGGGAUAGCCUUUGGAAACGAAGAUUAACACCCCAUAGUAUUAUUUUUUGGCAUCAUUAAAUAAUUAAAACUCCGGUGGUAUAAGAUGACUAUGCGUUCUAUUAGUUAGUUGGUAAGGUAACGGCUUACCAAGACAUCGAUAGAUAGGGGUCCUGAGAGGGAGAUCCCCCACACUGGUACUGAGACACGGACCAGACUCCUACGGGAGGCAGCAGUGAGGAAUAUUGGACAAUGGAGGCAACUCUGAUCCAGCCAUGCCGCGUGUAGGAAGACUGCCCUAUGGGUUGUAAACUACUUUUAUAUGGGAAGAAUAAGAGCUAUGUAUAGCUUGAUGACGGUACCAUAAGAAUAAGCACCGGCUAACUCCGUGCCAGCAGCCGCGGUAAUACGGAGGGUGCAAGCGUUAUCCGGAAUCAUUGGGUUUAAAGGGUCCGUAGGCGGGCUUGUAAGUCAGUGGUGAAAGUCUGUGGCUUAACCAUAGAAUUGCCAUUGAUACUGCAGGUCUUGAAUUAUUGUGAAGUGGUUAGAAUAUGUAGUGUAGCGGUGAAAUGCUUAGAGAUUACAUAGAAUACCGAUUGCGAAGGCAGAUCACUAACAAUAUAUUGACGCUGAUGGACGAAAGCGUAGGUAGCGAACAGGAUUAGAUACCCUGGUAGUCUACGCCGUAAACGAUGGAUACUAGUUGUUUGGCUUUCGGGCUGAGUGACUAAGCGAAAGUGAUAAGUAUCCCACCUGGGGAGUACGUUCGCAAGAAUGAAACUCAAAGGAAUUGACGGGGGCCCGCACAAGCGGUGGAGCAUGUGGUUUAAUUCGAUGAUACGCGAGGAACCUUACCAGGGCUUAAAUGUAGUCUGACAGCUUUAGAGAUAGAGUUUUCUUCGGACAGAUUACAAGGUGCUGCAUGGUUGUCGUCAGCUCGUGCCGUGAGGUGUCAGGUUAAGUCCUAUAACGAGCGCAACCCCUGUGGUUAGUUGCCAGCGAGUCAAGUCGGGAACUCUAGCCAGACUGCCGGUGCAAACCGUGAGGAAGGUGGGGAUGACGUCAAAUCAUCACGGCCCUUACGUCCUGGGCCACACACGUGCUACAAUGGUAGGGACAGAGAGCAGCCACUGGGCGACCAGGAGCGAAUCUAUAAACCCUAUCUCAGUUCGGAUUGGAGUCUGCAACUCGACUCCAUGAAGCUGGAAUCGCUAGUAAUCGGAUAUCAGCCAUGAUCCGGUGAAUACGUUCCCGGGCCUUGU